rnacentral:sRNA from 25 species
GUCAGUAACCCAGCCCUAAACGGACUGAGCUUGCAAGAGUAAUCAAGCAAGCCGUACUGACCAGACCACCCUGAGCGUCUUGCCCUGACUUGUGCCGAGCGAAGUCGAGGUAGCGAAGUCGAAGGGAGUCGAAGGGUAGCCGUUAUUUGAGUCACGACACCCACCGAAUGCGUAGCCCCUUCGGGGUUCAGCAGUCGCUCAUGGGGGAAACCCCCAAGACCGCGCUGCUUCACUAGUUCCCUGCUCUGUC